rnacentral:lncRNA from 1 species
AAAACACAACACAAAGACGCUGAGACGUCAAAAGAAACUCGCAAAUGGAAAUAGACUGCCAAUGGCUGGUCUUACGUCCGGCUCCGAACACACAAACACAAACAGGAAACCGAAUGCCAAUCGCUGGGCUUACAUCAGACUCCAAACAAACAACAACAGAUGGGAAACCGAAUGCCAAUCGUUGGGCUUACAUCAGACUCCAAGCACACAACAAAUAGGAAACGGAAUGCCAAUCGCUGGUCUUACAUCCAACUCCUAACACACACAAAAAGGUUAUCAAACAGACAAGCUAAUAGGGAGCCUGGAACUCGAGCCUAAUAGCUGUCAAGCAGACACACACAAAAAAGAAAAGGUUGCCCGGAGAGAUCUCGCACGAUCUCCUGCCUACGUACCUCAUCUGGUAUGAGGAUCAGGGCGACGUAGUUCCCCUUAACAGGGGAGAAACUUUCUCCUAAACCCAGAGACCAAGGGAAUAACGGACUAAAAGGGAGACUGACUCGAGCCUAAUAGUCGUCAUGCAAAUCAUAACCCUAGGUUGAGGUCUCUAACAAGAG